AUGAGAGGACAUGCAAGAAAAGGAAAACCAAGAAAAGGAAAACAAGUCGUGGAGGUGGCACCGAUGGUGAACGAGGUGGAAGAGGUGACGGUGGUGGUGGUCGAGGAAGCACAAGUGACAGAGGUGGUGGUGCUGGUCGUAGAGGGAGCACAAGUGCUAGAGGUGCUAGUGUUCAUAGAGGGAGUACAAGUGCUAGAGGUGGUGGUCGGAGAGGAAGCACAAGUGAUAGAGGUGGUGGUGGUCGUAGAGGAAGCACAAGUGCUAGAGGUGGUGGUGGUCGUAGAGGAAUGGUUGAUAAUGGAUCGGCCUUCGGUUAUUUGCUUAAUCCAGAUGGUUGAUCUAAUAAUAAUGGUAUAUUAUUUGUUCAUACAAUUCCUAGCAUUUAUUGAUUUACUGUAUUUACACAUUUACUCUCUUUGUGUCUUGUGCUAA
rnacentral:rRNA from 1 species